AUCGCACUACACACACCACCCGUGAGGACUGAGGAGUCUCGGAGAAGAUUCCUCCGUUCCGGUUGGCCGCGCGCCGUGCGGCCGUGCCCAAGCCAAACCGCCGCGUCAAUAAUGCAGCUACGGUCAAGUCUCCUCCUCUUCCUCAUCCCCCCUCGACAACUAGCCCACCGCCACCGCCACCGCCGCCGAGGGCGAUCCGAUAUGCAUUUGCUGCUCCCGUAGAAGGCGCGCGUCGCAGCAAUGGAGGCGGAGGACGACGAGCGAGCCGAGGCGGAGGCGGAGGCGCGGCGGGAGAAGGAGGCCGGCAACGCCGCCUACCGCAAGCUCUACCUCGAGACGGCCGUGCGCCACUACACCCGCGGCGCCCUCCUCGACCCCCGCGACAUCUCCUUCCUCACCAACCGCGCCGCCGCCUACCUCCUCAUGUCCAAGUACAAGGAGUGCGUGAGGGAUUGCGACGAGGCGGUGGAGAAGGGGCGGGAGCUACGCGCCGACAACAAGCUGGUCGCGCGGGCGCUGGCGAGGAAGGCGUCGGCGCUGCUCAAGCUCGCCGCCUGCGCCGCGGACUACGACCCGGCGAUCAGGGCGCUGCAGCAGUCGCUGGCCGAGCACUACAGCGAGGAGACGCUCGCCAAGCUGGGCGAGGCGGAGGAAGCCAGGAAGGAGAUUGAGGAGCGGGAGCGGCUUGAUCAGGAAGCUGCCGAUCACCACCGAGACAGAGGCAACGAUUUCUUCAAGCAGAAAAGGUACCAGGAAGCAGCAAUGCACUAUACUGAAGCCAUGAAAAAGAACCCAAAAGAUCCCAGGGUUUUUAGCAACAGAGCCCAAUGCCACAUCUACCUAGGAGCAUUGCCUGAAGGUCUUGAAGAUGCAGAUAAAUGCAUAGCGUUGGAUCCUACUUUUCUGAAAGGCUAUCUGCGUAAAGCUAAAGUUCAGUUACUUAUGGGCAAUUAUGAAAUUGCUCUGGCAACUUAUGUAGAGGGUUUGAAGUGUGACCCAAACAACCUCGAAGUUCUUGAUGGCUUAAGGAGAUGUGCAGCAUGCAUUAAAAGAGCUAAUGGCGGUGAUUCUAGAGCAGAGGACUUGAGAGAGAUACUGGGAGAUUUGCAUUUGAAUGAUGAUCUGUGUAAUAAACUUCAAAAAAGCAUGGAUGAAGCUGCGGUGUUGAAGAAGGAAGCAUCCGACGAGCGCUUAAAGCGGAUUGAAUCUGAACGAUUGGCCAGGACAUUGGAAGAUUUGUAUUUAAGCCAGGUCCAACAAAGGAAAGAAACAGAGGAAUCUCUUUCAAGGGUACAACAAGAGUUUGAACAACUUAAAAUACAGCAAGAUGAGGUCACCGUGGAACUUCAGAGAGUCAAUGAGCAGAAUGAGAAUCUACUAGGUCAACUCUCAGACUCCAGAGAGCAUUUUGAAUGGCUUCUAUCUGAGCAUGACCAAUUGCUACGUGAACGAGAUAAUGCAGUUCGAGAGGUUGAAGAACUACGUCAGAAAAGAGGACAGAUGCUUUCAGUUUUGGUUACAGCGAUGCACUGUGAAUUUUCAUCAUCUGAAGUGGAAUCUGCAACAGAAAAUUUUAGUAAUUCAUUGAAGAUUGGAGAAGGUGGGUUUGGCUGCGUAUACAAAGGUAUCCUCCGGAACAUGACAGUUGCAAUAAAGGUGCUGAGACCUGAUAGUUUACAGGGACAAUCACAGUUCGAACAAGAGGUUUCUAUCCUCAGUAGAGUGAGACACCCUCACCUUGUGACUCUCUUAGGAGCUUGCUCAGAGUCUUCAACACUCGUAUACGAGUUCCUGCCAAAUGGAAGCCUAGAAGAUUUUCUUAUGUGUUCAGAUAAGAGGCAAACUCUGACGUGGCAGGCUCGGAUUCGAAUUAUUGCUGAGAUAUGUUCAGCACUAAUCUUUCUGCAUAAGAAUAAACCUCACCCAGUUGUUCAUGGAGAUCUCAAGCCUGCUAACAUUCUCCUUGGUGUUAACUUAGUCAGUAAGCUUAGUGACUUUGGUAUUUCUCGCCUCCUAAUCCAGUCCAGCACCAAUAACACCACCCUGUACCGCACCAUGCAUCCUGUGGGCACCCCUCUGUACAUGGACCCAGAAUUUCUUUCCACUGGAGAGUUGACACCUCAGUCUGAUGUUUAUUCAUUUGGUAUUGUAGUCUUGCGUCUUUUAACAGGAAAGCCUCCUGUUGGUAUAAAGAAUAUCGUGGAGGAUGCAAUGGAGAAAGGUGACUUGAACUCAGUAAUUGAUACCUCAGUGGGAGAGUGGCCUCAUCUGCACAUCGAGCAGCUGGCAUACCUUGCUCUCAGAUGCACUGAGUUAAGCAGGAGGUGCCGCCCUGAUCUUUCAGGUGAGGUGUGGGCAAUAGUUGAGGCUAUAAGGGAUGCUGCAUUAUCUUCACCUUCAUCCUCUAGAUCAGCACAGGAUCAAAACAGUCCACCGUCAUAUUUCAUCUGUCCUAUAUCUCAGGAUAUCAUGGAUGAUCCUCACAUUGCAGCAGAUGGAUUCACCUAUGAAGCUGAGGCAAUCAGGAGUUGGCUCUGCAAUGGCCAUGACACGUCUCCAAUGACCAACUUGCUACUUGAACAUGAGGAGCUCAUUCCGAAUCGCGCACUGCGUUCUGCUAUUCAGGAGUGGCUCCAGCAGCACAGCAUGUCGCUGUAGCCAACUGCCCUCCAUGUGUGAAGCAAGUGAGCAAGUGGUACCAAUUGGCAACUGUAUAGUAUUUGGGUAAAUUCGGACAUCCCCCCUUCUGAUGCAAUUUCGGUAUGCCUUCUUUAUUCAGAUCAGGAGAAGUAGUUGAGUGAAGGUACUCCUACCUCUUUUAUGAUUUGAGGGUUGGAUCCAUCGUCGUCGUAAGGUAGGGGCCUCAUGUACACUUGCUUGAUCACAAGGCGACAGGUCUUCUGUUGCAAAGGAAAGGACGACGUACCUAAGCAUUGAUGAAUGAUGAUCGAUGAUGAUGCUAGCUGCUUGUCCAGCUUCAUGCACAGUUUUCACUACCUGGAUUUUAGCACAUGUUUCCUUUUGUCGGAUACCAGCAUGCAUGUAUGGACCAGCUGGGUGCUGCAAAUUGGAUGAUGGAUUGAUGGUUAUUGGUUCAGGUAUUCAGGAGCAGGCUGGUGCCCAGUGGGCCAGUUUGAUACUUGUAGGUGGACCAAAGGAGCUUUGAAGGAAUUUUCAGCAGAUGAAUUCUGGGAACUUUUUUUUCGAUUAUGAUAUGCCUUUUGGGCUGCACAAAUGGGAAUAGAAGAAAAUCUUGUAGAAAUCACUUUCUUUCCUAUGCUUUUGUAGUGAUUUCAGACUUGGGUUUAAAGGCUGUGUUAAGAUUUAUUCCAGAAGUUCAUUGCAAAGUGUGCAAGUGCAACUGUGCAGCUUCGCUCUUUCUCUCGAUC